rnacentral:tRNA from 1 species
CUGCUACCGGGCCGGCUGGCUUGUCCGUUUCCGGGGCGGCCGGGGCGGCCGGGGCGGUCUCGGCCGGAGCCGCCGGUUCUGGCUCGGGCGUGGCAGC